GUCAAUAUAGUUUAAGAAAAACACUAGAUUGUGAAUCUAUCGAUAGGAGUUCAACCCUCCUUAUUUACC
rnacentral:tRNA from 1 species